GGUCCCAUGCUGUAAUGUUUAGCACUCUGGACUCUGAAUCCAGCGAUCCGUGUUCUAAUCUCGGUGAGACCU
rfam:Nematostella vectensis strain CH2 x CH6 NEMVEscaffold_900_Cont33828, whole genome shotgun sequence.